UUGUGUGGUGUUUUGAUACAUUCAAAUACUCUUAAGAACUCAAAAGAUGCAAACUUUUUAUAUUGACGGGUAGCCCGUUCAAUUUUCCGAGAAUGGGUAGCAACUUCUUUGCAUUCCCAGUGAUUUUUUUUCUUGAUUUGUGAUUUUUGAUUAAAUAAGUAAUUCAUUCUCAACAUUUAACUACUGUCUCGAUUCUCUUAGUCUCAGUCUGAUGUGGGCGAGGACCAAGAUUCACUGUGGAAUCCAGCACAUAUUGGAGAUGGUUCGGCAAAAACAACUGGUGGAAGUGGUGGUGCAACAUCAACUUCCGAAGCUGGUAGCGUAACUAGGCUUGCUUCAAUUGAUUCAUUUGAUUCAAAAUGGCAACAAUUCUUGGAACCUGAUGAAUCCGUCCUUAUGAUCUCAAUGGUCAAGAAACUACAGAAACUAACAAACAAGAAAGUACAGCUUAUCCUGACCAAUAAACCAAAGUUGUUUUACGUAGACCCCACAAAACUGGUGGUUAAGGGGAGCAUAAUAUGGUCUGACAAUCCGAAUGAUUUGAGCAUUCAAGUCACAAGCCCUUCAAAUUUCAAGAUUUGCACUCCAAAAAAAAUCAUGUCGUUUGAGGAUUCAAAACAAAGAGCCUCACAGUGGAAAAAGGCAGUUGAAGCCCUUCAAAAUCGGUGAUAAUUUGACUAUGACUACGGUAGAGGAACAUGGGGUUCAGAAAACAGCCGGAUGCUCCCUUGGAAAUUUUUUCUCGAAGGUAUUUGGUAUAAGUUACAGAAAUCUUUUCUGCAUCCUAGAUCUCAACACCUCCAUGUUUAGAGCAGAUGCAUGAGAAUUCCUUUUGGCAUCACUUUUUGUGGAAAAUAUAACUCGGAGGGCUUUUAGCGUUAUGGGCGUCCACCAGUUUUGCCGUAAAGCACUUGUUCCAAGCCUUUCAAUUGAAUGUUAUUUGUUUAUAUCAGUGAUCUCUUGAUUUAGCUUAUCUUAUUCGAAAUUUAGAAAACAUAGAUUUACACAAUGAAUCAAAAGUGGACACAAGAAAAGAAUGAUAUUUAUGUUGUAGUUAAACCCUGUGUUACCUUUUUGUAUUGAAUUAUUUGACUCGUGGUAUGUAGUUUUUCUAUUCAUUUUCUUUCUUGCAUUCAGCAGUUCAUAGAACAAUGUACAUGGUGUUGUCAUUUAAAGGUCUUUUCAUUCA